rnacentral:rRNA from 1 species
GAUACGCUAACGGGCAGGCCUAAUACCUGCAAGUCGAACGGUGUCUUCGGACAUAGUGGCGCACGGGUGCGUAACACGUAUGCAACCUACCUUACAUUGGGGGAUAGCCUUUCGAAAGGGAGAUUAAUACCGCAUAAGACAGUAGCUGGGCAUCCAGCAGCUGUUAAAGAUUUAUCGAUGUAAGCUGGGCAUGCGUCCAAUUAGCUAGUUGGUGAGGUAAUGGCUCACCAAGGCAAUGAUUGGUAGGGGAACUGAGAGGUCAAUCCCCCACACUGGCACUGAGAUACGGGCCAGACUCCUACGGGAGGCAGCAGUAGGGAAUAUUGGGCAAUGGACGCAAGUCUGACCCAGCCAUGCCGCGUGCACGGAUGAAGGCGUUAUGCGUUGUAAACUGCUUUUAUACAGGAAGAAACGACUCUUGCGAGAGGCAUUGACGGUACUGUAUGAAUAAGCACCGGCUAACUCCGUGCCAGCAGCCGCGGUAAUACGGAGGGUGCAAGCGUUGUCCGGAUUUAUUGGGUUUAAACGGGUGCGCAGGUGGUUUAUUAAGUCAGUGGUGAAAGACGGUCGCUCAACGAUUGCAGUGCCAUUGAAACUGGUAGACUUGAGUAAAGUAGAGGUGGGCGGAAUUGAUAGUGUAGCGGUGAAAUGCAUAGAUAUUAUCAAGAACUCCAAUUGCGUAGGCACGCUCACUUGGCUUUUA